rnacentral:lncRNA from 1 species
AACGGCAGGUGAGCACGAAAAACACCCUCGCAGAACGAAGCGAGACCGACACGGGUAACCAUCAGCCACAGCGGAGCGCCCUCGACGGCGUGCCUCCCCGGACGGCAGCAGCCAGGACCGACCGCUGGCAAAGAUAGUCAAACCAACGCGGCACGGUUGCAACCGCCGCCCCCGACCUUCCACCUCGUAGUCAUAACCCCAGCGGAAGCGCGGAAGAACGCAAACCUGCAACACAGCCAAAAACAACAAAACCACCAACGAAAGAAAUCAAAGGAAGCGGGUACCCUCUGAUCAAACACAAAGAAGGACAAACGGACAGACUUGCACGAAGCCCCUAAACACCAUCCUCCGACACGUCGCCGCGCAAACACAAUCCCUGAAAACCAUGAAAAAAACAACCUGGCCAACGACGGGGCUAACGAC